AGGUUUCUCUUCAACCUCCCAUUCGCCUCCAUCUCUAUUCUCGGUCUUAACUCUGAACUUGCCCCCUUUCCUUCUCUUUGCAACUCCCUAAUCGCCUCCAUCUCUAUUCUUGUUCUCAACUCUGAACUUGCCCCCCCCCCUUCUCUCUCUGCAACUACUAACUAGAAAUUCUAUAAGAAUCAGAAGUUCAAAACCCAUAUAUUUCAGUUUAUCUAUCUGUCUGCAAGAAUCAAAAGUUCAAAACCUAUUCCAUAAUCAAAACCCAUAUCUGAUAUGCCAGAUUGUUAAAAAAAUCAAAACCCAUAUCUUUUAGUUUCCAUCACCCGCUGUUCUAGUUCGGGUUCGCCGUUCGCAAGCUUCAGCUGCUAUCUCUCAACUCUCAAGCUUGCCCCCCUCUCUCUCUGCAACUGUUAACUUAAAAACAUGAGGAAGACGACACUACCAGGGACCAGAUCAUCGAUAGUUACAUCAAAACCCUAGCUAUGGUUGUUGGAAGAGUGAGUGCUCCGCGGUAUCGGAUGUUGCCAAUGCAGACAAAUUUGAAUAUGCCUCCACUUCCUUCCAAUAUGACGAAAAAGGUUCUUCCAGUUGCAGCAACACAAUCAAAGACCAGUGGGGUUUCUUCGGAGGUGAAGGUUUCAAAUUGAGGUCAUUGGUUACUUACGAGGGUUUGAACACCAGAUCAAGUCCAUUAGUGAUCAAAGGGAUCUACAUUUUUCUUAUAGUGUUUAGAGGUUUCAAGUGUCUCAUGGCUUAUGGGGUACACUAGUACCGUAUUCUGCUAUCAUUUGUUUGAAAGAAGGAUAGACCAUUAAAUUGAAUGCGACUAAUUGUAGACCUUUGAUUGAUUUGCUACACCUUUUUUGCUCUUUUUUUUUUUUUUUUUUUUUUUUCUCUCUCUAAUUGCACGUUUUCUUGCAACAACACUAUGUUAUUCCUAAUUUUGUGCACAGGUGAAUGAUGGGAGGAGCAUCGAUCCAUCUGAGUUGCAAGAGAAGUUGACCGACUUAGUCAUCCGGACUUCAAGUUAGAUCCCCUUUUAAUUUUUGUUUCUCUGAUGUUUUUGUUUUCAAACUAUAAUGGGGCUUUGAGUUGGAUUUUGAAGUGUGAACUUGUGGUGCUUGUGGGGGCUACUUUAUACUCUUGGGAAGUUUGUUGUCUAUAUUUUUGUAAGUCUUCCUUCCUUGCAUUCCAGAUAGUAAUUAAGAUAGUGUAGUGACUGUUCUUGUACACAAGAAAAAUAUUUCAUGUUAGGAUUGUUGAUUGAGACAACAUGCAUUAAUUCUAUCUUUCAUGUGUUUUUCUAUUUCUCCAGUGUUAUGACUCUUAGUUAAAACACAUAUUCCAUUAAAUUUUUGAUUUGGCUCUAUUUUAUUAUCCUUAUUCCUUAAUGCUGUACAGAUAGGAGCUAUUGAUAUUUAAUUUGCUCACCUUCUGUUCAUGUAAUAUAAAUCAUAUUGAACUUUUUUUUUGGCAGUUAACUGAGUAAACUAUUUCAACAGCUACAAAUUUUAUUUCAUUUUCCACAAAUGACAUCAUCAAUAAUUUGCCUCUUCCAUUUCUGUUUUGAUUCCCAGCUAGCUUAAUUUCAUUACCUUUUUUCCCUCUCCAAGCCAAAAUAUAUGAACUUAAUAGAUUAUUAAUACAAAAUUUUGCGUGACAGUCUUGGUUUUACAUGUUAUCUGUUUAAGUUUUUAUCAAUGGAAGAAAUCACUUUUCUGAAAAGUGUCUUCAUCAACAUCUCCUGGCCUACCAUUCCUUGUUCAUGCACAACAUGUAAGUGAAUGAAAGCACUAUUUGUCUUUAUGUUCAUAUUUCCAUCAAGUUAUUUUCUAUUAACAACUUAAUACUACUUAUUCUAUCUUGAUACAUAUUGUCCCUUCAAAGAAUUUAGGAAAAAACUAUAAAGAAAAAAAAAACGUUGCCUUAAAGUUACUGGUCAUAAAUGUGCAUAGUAAUGGUGGAUUAGUUUCGCAUAGAAUCUGAUAAGCUUGUAGGUGGCAGAUGAAUCCGUCCCACACCCGGCUCUGAACUUGGAGAGCUCUCACUGCAUCACCAUGAUGGAAGCCGUUAACAACGGCAAGGAUUUUCACAUCUCCGUCACCAUGCCUUCUAUUGAGGUGAGGAUAGUCUCAAGGGAGCAAGUAAAAGCACUAAGGAAAGCUGUUGAUGAUGUAAGUUGCAAUGGUUCACUUUGAAUAGUUUCUCCAUGCAAACUACGUUUUCAGAGGCAACUUAAAGAAGUGUUUUAGAGAGUUUGAAGUUGAAGCUAGAAAAAAGAAAGUUUGAAGAUGGGGUCGUGGUUGUGCUUUUUGAAUUUCCUUAGUCGAUGUGAAAACUUCUAAUACAUUUUGAUGGGUUCUUUUGAGGAAACUUGUGGUUAUGUUCACUACUUUUGUGAAAAAUUAUUUUCAUUGUGUAUACUUCUUUUGUAAAAACUUGGUGUUCAGUACAGUAUUAUCUAUUAGUAGACAUGCAAUUUGGAUGGUA